UCCGUAGGCGGUGUGGCAAGUCGGGAGUGAAAUCUCUGGGCUUAACCCAGGGGCUGCUUCCGAAACUGCCGUGCUAGAGUGCGAGAGAGGUGAGUGGAAUUGCAGGUGUAGCGGUGAAAUGCGUAGAUAUCUGCAGGAACACCCGUGGCGAAGGCGGCUCACUGGAUCGCAACUGGCGCUGAGAGACGAAAGCUAGGGAGCAAACA
rnacentral:rRNA from 1 species